GACGAACGCUGGCGGCGUGCUUAACACAUGCAAGUCGUAUGGUAAGGCCCUUUCGGGGGUACACGAGUGGCGAACGGGUGAGUAACACGUGAGUAACCUGCCCACAACUUUGGGAUAACGCUAGGAAACUGGUGCUAAUACUGGAUAUGUGCUCCUGCUGCAUGGUGGGGGUUGGAAAGCUCCGGCGGUUGUGGAUGGACUCGCGGCCUAUCAGCUUGUUGGUGGGGUAGUGGCCUACCAAGGCGGCGACGGGUAGCCGGCCUGAGAGGGUGACCGGCCACAUUGGGACUGAGAUACGGCCCAGACUCCUACGGGAGGCAGCAGUGGGGAAUAUUGCACAAUGGGCGCAAGCCUGAUGCAGCAACGCCGCGUGCGGGAUGACGGCCUUCGGGUUGUAAACCGCUUUCAGCAGGGACGAAGCUUUUUGUGACGGUACCUGCAGAAGAAGCACCGGCUAACUACGUG
rnacentral:rRNA from 1 species